ACAUACUCCUGAAAGUCGUGGAACGAAAAUUCGUCUCGUCGAGCGUUAUCCUGUUAGUACCUUCAUUUCGACUUUAUCAAUGAUUCUACGCUUCUAUCUGGUUCAUUCAAAUAAUACAUUAUUGGCUGGUCACAUGACUGAAAGAAUAGGGGUUCACAUCACAGACGCCACAAGUGAUUAACAAUCGAUAAUUCGAACUGAAACAAGAUGGACGUCAUAGAUGAUUAUUAAUAAAUGGAGCAGUUGAUUUCUGAUGCAGAUUUAGUAAUGAUUGAGGUACUAUAACAAAUCAGACUUUUUCAUAAUUUCUACUUUUUCCUGUGCUUCGUGAAGG